AUUGAACGCUGGCGGCAUGCUUUACACAUGCAAGUCGAACGGUAACAGGCCGCAAGGUGCUGACGAGUGGCGAACGGGUGAGUAAUGCAUCGGAACGUGCCCAGUCGUGGGGGAUAACGCAGCGAAAGCUGCGCUAAUACCGCAUACGAUCUAUGGAUGAAAGCGGGGGACCGGAAGGCCUCGUGCGAUUGGAGCGGCCGCUGUCAGAUUAGGUAGUUGGUGGGGUAAAGGCUCACCAAGCCAACGAUCUGUAGCUGGUCUGAGAGGACGACCAGCCACACUGGGACUGAGACACGGCCCAGACUCCUACGGGAGGCAGCAGUGGGGAAUUUUGGACAAUGGGCGCAAGCCUGAUCCAGCAAUGCCGCGUGCAGGAAGAAGGCCUUCGGGUUGUAAACUGCUUUUGUACGGAACGAAACGGUCCUGGUUAAUACCCGGGGCUAAUGACGGUACCGUAAGAAUAAGCACCGGCUAACUACGUGCCAGCCGCCGCAGUAACAC
rnacentral:rRNA from 1 species